CGUAGGGCGCGAGCGUUGUCCGGAUUGAUUGGGCGUAAAGAGCUCGUAGGCGGCUCGUUGCGUCGGCUGUGAAAACCCGCAGCUCAACUGUGGGCCUGCAGCUGAUACGGGCGGGCUGGAGUUCGGUAGGGGAGACUGAAAUUCCUGGUGUAGCGGUGAAAUGCGCAGAUAUCAGGAGGAACACCGGUGGCGAAGGCGGGUCUCUGGGCCGAUACUGACGCUGAGGAGCGAAAGCGUGGGGAGCGAACAGGAUUAGAUACCCUGGUAGUCCACGCUGUAAACGUUGGGCGCUAGGUGUGGGGGGCCUCUCCGGUUCUCUGUGCCGCAGCUAACGCAUUAAGCGCCCCGCCUGGGGAGUACGGCCGCAAGGCUA
rnacentral:rRNA from 1 species